AAUUCUCAAUCUUUACAACUUUGUGUUGUCCAGAUUGGAUUUGGGGGUUUCAUUGUGCGGAAUUCAAUUCCUCACUCCCCUUAAAUGCAUUAGCUGGAAUGCCUCCGCAUAUCUGACUAUCAGUGUGAUAAUUAUCUAUACUGUAGUUGUUGCAUGAGGGUAUCUGCUUCAUCAAUCGUCGCAAGACAAAUGACCA
rnacentral:misc_RNA from 1 species